rnacentral:rRNA from 1 species
GACGAACGCUGGCGGCGUGCUUAACACAUGCAAGUCGAACGGAAAGGCCCUGCUUUUGUGGGGUGCUCGAGUGGCGAACGGGUGAGUAACACGUGAGUAACCUGCCCUUGACUUUGGGAUAACUUCAGGAAACUGGGGCUAAUACCGGAUAGGAGCUCCUGCUGCAUGGUGGGGGUUGGAAAGUUUCGGCGGUUGGGGAUGGACUCGCGGCUUAUCAGCUUGUUGGUGGGGUAGUGGCUUACCAAGGCUUUGACGGGUAGCCGGCCGGAGAGGGUGACCGGCCACAUUGGGACGGAGAUACGGCCCAGACUCCUACGGGAGGGAGCAGUGGGGAAUAUUGCACAAUGGGCGGAAGCCUGAUGCAGCAACGCCGCGUGCGGGAUGACGGCCUUCGGGUUGUAAACCGCUUUCGCCUGUGACGAAGCGUGAGUGACGGUAAUGGGUAAAGAAGCACCGGCUAACUACGUG